rnacentral:rRNA from 1 species
GACGAACGCUGGCGGCGUGCUUAACACAUGCAAGUCGUACGGUAAGGCCCUUUCGGGGGUACUCGAGUGGCGAACGGGUGAGUAACACGUGAGUAACCUGCCCACAACUUUGGGAUAACGCUAGGAAACUGGUGCUAAUACUGGAUAUGUGCUCCUGCUGCAUGGUGGGGGUUGGAAAGCUCCGGCUGUUGUGGCUGGACACGCGGCCUAUCAGCUUGUUGGUGGGGUAGUGGCCUACCAAGGCGGCGGCGGGUAGCCGGCCUGGGAGGGUGACCGGCCACAUUCGGACUGAGACACGGCCCCGGCCCCUACGGGGGGCAGCAGUGGGGAAUAUUGCACUAUGGGCGCGAGCCUGAUGCAGCAACGCCGCGGGCGGGAUGACGGCCUUCGGGUUGUAAACCGCUUUCAGCAGGGACGAAGCUUUUUGUGACGGUACCUGCAGAAGAAGCACCGGCUAACUACGUG